UACAGUUAUAUUUUCCCCUUGGACUAGAUCUGGCACUCCACUUUCAACUAAAUCAAGAAUUGCCUCUCCUCUUGUAGGUUCCAGAAUCAAGCCAUUUAACGAGUCAAGAAACUCUCCCUGCAUCUUGUCCUGGGAUGACGUGUACCCAGUCAGUGUGGGGUGCAUCGCAUAAUCCAGAAUGCUGUAAAGAAUCGUAUGUGGGUCCAUAUGACGAUCCAAACACCAUAAGAUGAAUCUACACCAUUUUGCCAGGAACUCUGGCAGAUUGGAGGUAAGACACCCAUCUCAUCACUAUGGCAAUAGCUGUUGUUCGCACUGCUGUGUCUGCAACGUCCAUCGCUAUCUGCAGACCAGCUCUGGUAGAGGCAUACCCCUCUUGUACGACCGCCUUCAGAAUCUCUCUCCUGGACUCGGAAAGCAGCUCCAUCAGUGGUGUCAAAUUGGUAUAAUUGUCAAACCUUGUGGUUUGAUAGAUGCACUAAAUAAUUUGCUAUUCAAAGGAGGAGUGUGGAUGACAUGUAAACCUUCCUGCCUAAUAAAUCCAGUCUUUUAGAAUCUUUGUCUAAUGUGUAAUUCCUAUACUGCAGUGUUUUUACCCUUUGUUGUGCCACAUCUACUACUAAGGAGUUUGGCUGAGGGGGACUGAAAAAAAAUCUCAGACCGCUUGGGUGGCACAAAAUACUUUUUAUCUGCCCUCUUGUUGGUAAGUAAGGCGGCUGCCAGGGUUUGCCAGAUCUCAUCUGCAACUUCCAAUAUGGCUUCAUCAAGCGGGAUGGCCAGCUUUGAAGAGGAGGAAGCUUGCAGAUUAAGGAGGCGAUGUUGUUUUUCUUUAAUCUCGGACAACUGUAUCUCUUGACUAACUGCCACCCUCUUGAACAACUCUUGAAAUUGUUUUAAAUCGUCAGGAGGUGAAGCAUCUCCAGGGAUAACUGCUUUGUCAGGUGAUGAAGAGGACUGAUCUGUAGGGGAUAUAUCAGGUGGCUGUACCUCUAUUGCAGUGAGCUGCUCCUGGUCAGUGUCAGAACGAGGCAGUUGAGGAGACACUGGAUUUUGUUUUAAAACAGAUGAGGAUGGAACACGUGAAUGUCCAGGAGAUGUGCACUCAUAUGUUGACCGUGGACGAGAUCUGGAUCUGUAAUGAGAGGAGUAUCUAUAUGGCGAGUUAUGUCUGUGUUGGUCGUAAUGGUGGUGGCGGUCGUCAUGGUAGUAAUUGCUAUAUGUGGGAGAAAGACUAUAUGCGCGAGGUCUCCUGUAUUUCCUCCAGUAAGUGGAUCUUGGUGAUCUUGGAGAGUGGGAGAGAGUGUAAGAUCUCCUUUGAGGUGACAGAGAGGCUGAGAAUUGUCAUUGGGAGUAAUGAGUAGGCUCUCUAGGUGGAGUGAGGUAGUCUGUGUGAGGAGUGGUACCAAUUGUCUUGGUUGGGCAGAAGCGAAGGAGAUGCCAGUGCCACCAGCGGUG